CGGUGAAGCCCAGCUUGCUGGGUGGAUCAGUGGCGAACGGGUGAGUAACACGUGAGCAACCUGCCCUCCACUUCGGGAUAAGCCUUGGAAACGGGGUCUAAUACCGGAUAUGAGCGCUCACCGCAUGGUGGGUGUUGGAAAGUUUUUCGGUGGGGGAUGGGCUCGCGGCCUAUCAGCUUGUUGGUGGGGUGAUGGCCUACCAAGGCGUCGACGGGUAGCCGGCCUGAGAGGGCGACCGGCCACACUGGGACUGAGACACGGCCCAGACUCCUACGGGAGGCAGCAGUGGGGAAUAUUGCACAAUGGGCGCAAGCCUGAUGCAGCGACGCCGCGUGAGGGAUGACGGCCUUCGGGUUGUAAACCUCUUUCAGCAGGGAAGAAGCGCAAGUGACGGUACCUGCAGAAGAAGCGCCGGCUAACUACGUGCCAGCAGCCGCGGUAAUACGUAGGGCGCAAGCGUUGUCCGGAAUUAUUGGGCGUAAAGAGCUCGUAGGCGGUCUGUCGCGUCUGGUGUGAAAACCCGAGGCUCAACCUCGGGCUUGCAUCGGGUACGGGCAGACUAGAGUGCGGUAGGGGAGACUGGAAUUCCUGGUGUAGCGGUGGAAUGCGCAGAUAUCAGGAGGAACACCGAUGGCGAAGGCAGGUCUCUGGGCCGCAACUGACGCUGAGGAGCGAAAGCAUGGGGAGCGAACAGGAUUAGAUACCCUGGUAGUCCAUGCCGUAAACGUUGGGCACUAGGUGUGGGGCUCAUUCCACGAGUUCCGUGCCGCAGCUAACGCAUUAAGUGCCCCGCCUGGGGAGUAC
rnacentral:rRNA from 1 species